AACGCUAGCUACAGGCUUAACACAUGCAAGUCGAGGGGAAACGAUAUUGGAAGCUUGCUUCCGAUAGGCGUCGACCGGCGCACGGGUGAGUAACGCGUAUCCAACCUGCCCAUCACUUGGGAAUAACCUUGCGAAAGUAAGACUAAUGCCCAAUGACAUUUAUAGAAGGCAUCUGAAAUGAAUUAAAGAUUUAUCGGUGAUGGAUGGGGAUGCGUCUGAUUAGCUUGUUGGCGGGGUAACGGCCCACCAAGGCGACGAUCAGUAGGGGUUCUGAGAGGAAGGUCCCCCACAUUGGAACUGAGACACGGUCCAAACUCCUACGGGAGGCAGCAGUGAGGAAUAUUGGUCAAUGGGCGAGAGCCUGAACCAGCCAAGUAGCGUGCAGGAUGGCGGCCCUAUGGGUUGUAAACUGCUUUUAUAGGGGAAUAAAGUGAGCCACGUGUGGUUUUUUGUAUGUACCCUAUGAAUAAGGACCGGCUAAUUCCGUGCCAGCAGCCGCGGUAAUACGGAAGGUCCGGGCGUUAUCCGGAUUUAUUGGGUUUAAAGGGAGCGUAGGCCGGAGAUUAAGCGUGUUGUGAAAUGUAGAUGCUUAACAUCUGAACUGCAGCGCGAACUGGUUUCCUUGAGUACGCAUAAAGUGGGCGGAAUUCGUGGUGUAGCGGUGAAAUGCUUAGAUAUCACGAAGAACUCCGAUUG
rnacentral:rRNA from 1 species